GGGGUGUGCUCAGAGCAGGGGGCCUGAAGAAUGGCUCUUCUGUUUACAGCACACCCAACAGGAAUCUCUGGUCACUGUAAUGAGGGACACAAAACUUGUGGCCUCCCUAUGAACAAAUGCCCUACAUGU
rnacentral:snoRNA from 1 species